rnacentral:rRNA from 1 species
GGGGGAUAUUGCACAAUGGAGGAAACUCUGAUGCAGCAACGCCGCGUGAGGGAAGAAGGUCUUCGGAUUGUAAACCUUUGUCCUUGGUGACGAAACAAAUGACGGUAGCCAAGGAGGAAGCUCCGGCUAACUACGUGCCAGCAGCCGCGGUAAUACGUAGGGAGCAAGCGUUGUCCGGAUUUACUGGGUGUAAAGGGUGCGUAGGCGGCUCUGCAAGUCAGGCGUGAAAACUAUGGGCUUAACCCAUAGACUGCGUUUGAAACUGUGGGGCUUGAGUGAAGUAGAGGUAGGCGGAAUUCCCGGUGUAGCGGUGAAAUGCGUAGAGAUCGGGAGGAACACCAGUGGCGAAGGCGGCCUACUGGGCUUUAACUGACGCUGAAGCACGAAAGCAUGGGUAGCAAAC